GGGACACUCUGGGUCUCGGAGGAGCGUGAUCCAGGUUGGAACGCAACCCAGACUGUCAACGAAACACGUUCCUGCGAGCUAAAGAAUCCCUUCCGAGCCCUCAUUGCGACCACCAAACCAGCCAAUCCCUCGUGGGUUCCCUCAGCCAACACUUGUGUGUGUGAAAAGAUCAAAUGCCCCCAUUGCAUCCAGAGCACAGACGUCCCUCAAAUCCUAGGCUCUCCAUUCUUCCCCGAGCAUCCUGGAUCCCUGGGCUUGGAGCUGCCUGUGAGGCUUCCAGCCCUCUGCUUGUCACCACUUCCCAGGUGGUUGGUGGCUCUGGGUGAACCCAGUGGAGCGGGCCGUUUGCGAGGAGGGCUGUUUGGACGCAAGCUGGGCGCGGGCAGGCUGGGCCGGGUCGCAGGGCAGGGCGCCCCUCGUCUCCUGCCUCCGCCUCUCGGUUCCGCACUGGUCCGAGUGAAGCCAGGGGGGCGGGGGGGAGCCGCGCUGACGUCACUGCGGGCCGUGCCCGCCCGAGAAGGCGGCGCUGAGCCGCUCAGAGCCGGGAGAAGCGGCGCGCCGCCAGGAACCUCCGCGCCACCGCCGCCGCGCCUGCCUCCAGCAGCUCUCGGCCACGCGACCGUGCGGUCAGCGGCGCUUGGAGGGCGGCCGGAGCUGGGCCUGAGCCUGGAGACUCGCCUGAUCCCGGGCGGCCGAACCACCAUCACCACAACGCCCCACCCCCGCCGUCGCCUUGUGGGGCCCCGGCCCCCUCCCGGGUCCGACGCACUCCAGGGUGGGCCAGGAGAAAAGAGAAAAGACAGCUUGGUGAUGACUAAGAAGAUUGUCCUGUGAAGGGAAGUGAUGGCACAGGCUCUGAUCAGCUCUUCUGGGAACAGACAGAGAAGUGAGAAUUCCUGCCAAAGCCACAGGAUGAACACAGAGCCAAGAACCUGAACCAGAAAAAUCCAGCAGGAAAGGAACCUGCACUAGCCGCCAUCCUGAGGCUGCUGUACAGGGAGCAAUCCUACCGCAGGGACUUGGCAGGAGACCAAGGACCUGCCCCCAGGUCCUCCUCGAGGGCCUCUGCCACCGACCUGCUUGUCUAGGAUCUCCUUCCUUUCUGCUUGUGCCACAUCUUUCAGGCCUGUUCUGGGUCUGAUGUGCUAUAGAACACUCUGUUCAGGCGCUUGGGAAACAGAGACUUCAUCACCAGCAUUUCCACCCCCAAAGAACUAGGCAGCACACUGGGAAGUUGCCAAAGGAAGGGACUCCAGCCUCCCAGGAGUUAACAACAUUUCUCCCCAGCUAUCCUCCCCUUGGUGCUCCUCUUCCUCCCUCCUCCUGCUCACAGCAGGCAGGGCCUGGAACCAGGAGCCAUGCUGCUGUGCUGUUGCCAGGGGAGCUGGGAGGCAGAUCGGAGCUAUGCAGGGAAAAGGCUCGGCCUGUCAGAGUGUCUGAGAUGAACCACCGCCAUCCCUGUGCAGCUGGGCUCCAUGUGUCUCAGGGCUCUUGUUCUGUGCCUGAGAACAGUGAAGCCCAGCGAGGUUCAAGGGCACACUCGCUAUUCAUCAGUCGGGGGUUCUUGACGGUCCUGCCUCUCCCAGGGAUGGGUUCCCCCCUUCCUCUUUCUCUCCCUCCUAUGAUACAUUCCUGGGUGCCUGUGGUGAGGACUGCACACCCCCUUCUCCACAGCCCCCCCAAACCCUGAAUCAACUCCUAUUAAGGAGGCCAGGCGGGACAGGGACAAUGGCUUCAAGAAAUCAUUCAGGCGGGACCUCAGUCACAUUCGCAUGCCCGUCACUCCCAGAGCCCCUGUAGAUCCCACUCUGCUGUGAUUCAGGGACCCUUGGGCCCCCAGCUUGCACAUGCCUAGACAGGAGCAGGCCACUAGGUGCUGCCCUACACAACAGGCCAGUGCAGUGUUUGUUCUCAGGGACCCUGGGGUCUCCAUCCCACUGGCUGGAUAGUGUGUGCAGUCAGUUGGAGAGCAGAAACUACAAUAUUUUCUGAAAUGUGGUAAUAUCAAGAUAUAAGAGGCACAUAUACGUGAUGACUAAUUUCACUUCAGAUAUACUGGAAAAGUUUGCUAAGAACAUGGACAAAGACCUGUGGUUGAGUAACGAGUCAUUUCAUUCCAUGGAAUAUUACACACCUGUAAGACUGUGGUAGAUCUACCUCUGCAUGCAGGCUGAUAGGGAAGGUUGUUAAUAUACUUAAGUGAAUAGAAUAAAGUACAAAACAGUCAAGUGUGUUCUUGUUUG
ensembl:lncRNA